CCAGCCCAGUAUUCCCGCUCCCAUGGCGAAUUAAAAUGUGGCGUUAAAAACUCUUAGUGGGACUUGAGCCGGAACAGAGGUCCCCUCCCGGGGAGACUUUCUUGCGGGGGUUUCUCCUGGGGAUUUGGUGCUGGGGCCCCGGGAACCAGGACCUUUAUUUGAAAAAAAUUGAAUUUUCAAGCAGGCUCCGCACGCCGGAAAUUAUUAGCAUGGAAUAAUAAAAUGGACCUGCGGGUUUUAUUUUGUUGGUUUUUGGGAUCCCCGGUAAAGAUUAAUAGGGCCAGUUGGGGGCAUUAGUACUCCCAUGUUGAAGGUGAAAAUGUUGGAUUUUGGGAAGGCUAACUUCUGGGAAACGCGUUUGGCCAAGGAUGUUUUCAUUAAUCAAGAACGAAAGUUAGGGGAUCGAAAACGAUUAGAUACCGUUGUAGUUUUAACAGUAAACUAUGCUGANUAGGGAUCGGUCGAUGUUAUCUUUUUGACUCGAUCGGCUCCUUACGAGAAAUCAAAGUUUUUGGGUUGUGGGGGGAGUAUGGUCGCAAGCCUGAAACUUAAAGAAAUUGACGGAAGGGCACCACCAGGAGUGGAGCCUGCGGCUUAAUUUGAUUCAACGCGGGGAAACUCAUCAGGUCCUGACAUAGGAAGGAUGAACAGAAGGAUAGCUCUUUCUUGAUUAUAUGGGUGGCGGCGCAUGCCCUUUCUUAGUGGAGGGAGAGAUUUGUUUGGUUAAUUCAGAUAACGAGCGAGACCUUAACCUGAUAAAUAGCCCCAUUGACUAUGGUGGGGGGCUGGUUUUUUAGAGGGACUAUUGGUCUUCCACCCAAUGGAAGUUUGAGGCAAUAACAGGUCUGUGACGCCCUUAGAUGUUGUGGGCCGCGCGCGCGCUACACUGAGGGAGCCAACGAGUUUUUUCCUUGUCCGGAAGGAGGGGGUAAUCUUGUGAAACUUCGUCGUGCGGGGGAUAGAGCAUUACAAUUAUUGCUCUUCAACGAGGAAUUCCUAGUAAGCGUGAGUCAUCAGCUCGCGUUGAUUACGUCCCUGCCCUUUGUACACACCGCCCGUCGUUACUACCGAUUGAAUGGUUUAGUGACCCUUUGGGAUCGCACAGCUUGUCCCGACAACGGAUACACAGGCCGGUGAAAAUUUAGACAAACUGGGUCUUUUAGAGGAAGUAAAAUUUUAACAAAGGGAAUUUGCGGCCCGAAAUUAAUUCCCUAAGAUCUCUCAAAAA
rnacentral:rRNA from 1 species